CCUACGGGUGGCAGCAGUGAGGAAUAUUGGUCAAUGGACGAGAGUCUGAACCAGCCACGUAGCGUGAAGGAUGAAUGCCCUAUGGGUUGUAAACUUCUUUUAUAUGGGAAUCAAAUGUUCAACGUGUGGGCUUUUGUAUGUACCAUAUGCAUAAGUAUCGGCUAACUCCGUGCCAGCAGCCGCGGUAAUACGGAGGCUUCGAGCGUUAUCCGGAUUUAUUGGGUUUAAAGGGAGCGUAGGUGGUUUGUUAAGUCUGAGGUAAAAUCGCGGGGCUCAACCACACUCCGCCGUUGAAACUGGCGUACUUGAGUGGACGAGAAGUAUGUGGAAUGCGUGGUGUAGCGGUGAAAUGCAUAGAUAUCACGCAGAACUCCGAUGGCGAAGGCAGC
rnacentral:rRNA from 1 species